AUACGUAGGGGGCGAGCGUUGUCCGGAAUGAUUGGGCGUAAAGGGAGCGUAGGCGGGAGUGCAAGUCAGAUGUGAAAUACAUGGGCUCAACCCAUGGGCUGCAUUUGCAACUGCAUUUCUUGAGUGAAGUAGAGGUAAGCGGAAGUCCUGGUGUGGCGGGGAAAUGCGUAGAUAUCUGGAGGAACACCGGUGGCGAAGGCGGCUUUCUGCGCUUUUACUGACGCUGAGGCUCGAAAGCGUGGGGAGCAAGCAGGAUUAGAUGCCCUGGUAGUCCACGCUGUAAACGAUGAUUACUAGGUGUGGGGGGACUGCCCCCUUCCGUGCCGCAGUUAACACAAUAAGUAAUCCACCUGGGGAGUACGGCCGCAAGGUUGAAACUCAAAGGAAUUGACGGGG
rnacentral:rRNA from 1 species